AUCAGCGUGGUGCCGGGUGUCUGGGGUGGCUACACGUACCAUCCCCCGCUGACAGUGAAGAAUUGAAAGGAUUGGUUGGAAGCUGAGCGCCGAGGGCAGACCUACGAAAUUGGAGGUGUGGUAGAGCUGUACUGUAACAUGAAUGAGUGGGAAUAGGAGGGUGGACUGGGUGUCCUCUCUGCUCGCGUAUAUAAGAGACGAACUUUCUACCAAACGCACACGAGAGGGAACAACGGCACGGAGAAGCAGUGUUUGUUACAGUCAAUACACUCGGUUAACACUAUCGUCCGGCUCGAUCGUUUUGAAGACAGACCUUCCUACAACUAGUCCAACGUCUAAGGUAUUGUACGAUCUCUCCAGAACACCGACAGUCGAAGGUGAGGAACAGGCUGACCGUUGACCUUAGCACGGAUCACAAAGUCCCGACCACUGUCCAUGACCAAUAUGAGUCCUACUAACUCCACUUUAAAAGCGAGCUGCAGUCCUAGGUCAGUGUCGUGCAGCGCUAGUCGUGCAGCACUUGUCGCACUGCUGCUGCUGGCGUUGCCAUCGACGCUAGGGGAGAAUCGGUACACUUGGGAUUGUAAUGCAGUGUUUCCCUGCUUAAACGGGGGCGAGCGGGAUUACGGCCAUGACCCCCUCAUGGCUAACUGUCGAUGUAUUUGUUCCCGAGAUUAUGAAGGGCCACGAUGUCAGUACCGCAGUGCGUUUAUGAACUUGGGUGAUUUUAUACGCGACGCCGUCGUGACGGAACAGCGCCGACAAAACCAGACAAGACAGGGACGGACAACGAGGAUGAGUCUAGAGAGCAGCUGGUAGAACGGUGGAGGGGUCGUGAGAGAACACACCUCAGUCCCAACUGUUGACAGCACAAGCCACCAAAAUACCAAUAUCCUGGAGAAGUUCUCAUGUUUUUGCCAACGACACCGAGCAGGCGGCAACGGCUUUGUUGACAUCAACUGUCGACAGUGAAUAAUAUAGGCAACGGUGUCUGUGAUGAAGACAUGUUGAACUGAAAAUGUCAAUAUAAGAGUUAUCGAUCUUGACUAA